UAUGUGCCUUUGGACUACAUCGU
rnacentral:ncRNA from 2 species